AGCGAACGCUGGCGGCAGGCCUAACACAUGCAAGUCGAACGAACCCUUCGGGGUUAGUGGCGGACGGGUGAGUGACACGUGGGAACGUGCCUUUAGGUUCGGAAUAACUCAGGGAAACUUGUGCUAAUACCGAAUGUGCCCUUCGGGGGAAAGAUUUAUCGCCUUUAGAGCGGCCCGCGUCUGAUUAGCUAGUUGGUGAGGUAAUGGCCCACCAAGGCUACGAUCAGUAGCUGGUCUGAGAGGAUGACCAGCCACAUUGGGACUGGGACACGGCCCAAACUCCUACGGGAGGCAGCAGUGGGGAAUCUUGCGCAAUGGGCGAAAGCCUGACGCAGCCAUGCCGCGUGGAUGAUGAAGGUCUUAGGAUUGUAAAAUCCUUUCACCGGUGAAGAUAAUGACUGUAGCCGGAGAAGAAGCCCCGGCUAACUUCGUGCCAGCCGCCGCCGUAAGAC
rnacentral:rRNA from 1 species